rnacentral:rRNA from 1 species
AUUGAACGCUGGCGGCAGGCCUAACACAUGCAAGUCGAGCGGAUGAAGGGAGCUUGCUCCUGGAUUCAGCGGCGGACGGGUGAGUAAUGCCUAGGAAUCUGCCUGGCAGUGGGGGAUAACGUCCGGAAACGGGCGCUAAUACCGCAUACGUCCUGAGGCAGAAAGUGGGGGAUCUUCGGACCUCACGCUAUCAGAUGAGCCUAGGUCAGAUUAGCUAGUUGGUGGGGUAGAGGCCUACCAACGCGGCGAUCCGUAACUGGUCGGAGGGGAGGAUCAGGCACAGAGAAAGUGACACGCGACAUAGGGACUGAGGGAGGCAGCAGUGGGGAAUAUUGGACAGUGGGCGAAAGCCUGAUCCAGCGAGGCGGAGUGUGUGAAGAAGGUCUUCGGAUUGUAAAGAACUUUAAGUGGGGAGGAAGGGCAGUAAGUUAAUACCUUGCUGGUGUGACGUUACCAACAGAAGAAGCACCGGCUAACUACGUG